ensembl:lncRNA LINC01709 long intergenic non-protein coding RNA 1709
UUUACUUUUUUUUCCCUUUCACCGUCAUCCAUGAGAAGACACAGUGUUCCAUCCAGAGGAUGUAGCAUCAAGGCGUCAUCUUAAAAGCAGAGAAAAGACUCUUACUUGACACCAGAUGCCAGUGCAUUGAUCUUGGACUUCCCAGCCUCUAGAACUGUAAACAGCCCUGGGACAAAGAACAGACUACGGGUAUUGCCUUCUUAAUCAACAAUAAAGUAUUAGUUGGCUUCCAGGCAGACACCACUGACUUUCAAGAGAAAGGCACGGGAGUAAGGAAGUAAAGAAUUCAGGGCAAACGUCGAGCUUUCCUCUGGGCUCCAAUGUAAAAGAAGUGGAUAGCGGCUGACUAGUGUACAUAUUAUGUAUGCAGACUUUGAAGGAAUCCCCCUUGUUUUUAGCUGUUCUUCCAUUGCUCCUGGAGACUCUGAGCUCAGAGAUUUUCUAGGCUCUGAUGGGCAGAGUGGCUCGUUUCCUCCCUGAAGUUUCCUUCAUGCCACAUUCUGGAUUACAACCUCCUCCAAAGAGUGUCAUCUGUCAAUAUAAUGUCAUCUCUUGAUUUCUCUGUUUUCUUUUCUUCACUAUAAUAGAUAUCAGAAGAUUUAAUGGUCUUUUAAGUUGAGAGAAAGAGCAUGUGCAAAAUUGGGAAACCAACCAUCACAUCACAUUCCAUCAUGUAAUAAGAAUACCUAGAUGUUUGGUGCUGCUUUAAAUGUGAACAGAGUAAUGGGAACUGAAUUUACUAAGGCAGGAUGAAACCAGACUUGCUAAGCUGGUGUUUGGACUUUACCCUGUUGGCAGUGUGGAAACAAUGAAGGUGCUGCUUGAAAAUACAACAAACUGUCUUCAGAAUACUUUUAUGUGUUGUUGAAAGAAAGCACUGCAGCUAAUAUAGCUACAAAGGAGAAACAGUUAUUCUUAAAUGUCAUCUAUUUGCUGGACCUGAACAGGAAUUCACUAUGGAGCUCAUACAACUACCACCUUCAGCUAUUAAUCAAGGAGUCAUUCAACUGAGAAAGGGGAGAUUGAGAUGUUGAAUCAUUUCUCAUUCUGUGAAGUCUACCAGAAUAACCCAUAAAGCAAAUAUCAACCUAUUUCAAUUAGAAAAAUGAAAAAUACUGAUACAGCAGACGAAUUCUGGAACUAACACUUCCACAAAUCAUUGAUAAUCCAUUUUCCAACUUCUUCAAAUUCCAGACCAUCAACAAGCUAUUCAAAACAAUAAAUGUUAAUAGUUUUGGUGGAGUUAAGCAGCAGAAGUUAAAAGCAUUGUGGAAGACAGUAUGGUGAUUCCUCAAGGAUCUAGAAGCGGAAAUACCAUUUGACCCAGCAAUCCCAUUAUUGGGAUCUCUGUCGAAGUACAGAUCAGGCAUGACCUCCCAUGGGUGUUCACGGGAAAUGGUGCCACACAUGCGCAGAACUUCCCGAGCCAGCAUCCACCACAUCAAACCCACUGAAUGUACUGUUCCAUCUGGAAGUCAAGAUUGGUGCCACCUAAGUGGGUUCCUGCUGCAAGGAACUUAAGGACAUCCUCCUUCAUUUGCAGGACAUCAAGGGCUCCGGACAUUGUGAAAGUUUCCCUUUAAGUUACGACGGGAAUCCAGAACAACGCCGUAUGGACCCCUCUGCAGGUAGCAAGGAAAAGCGCCAGUAACUUUUAAAGGCUUGUUUUGCAUAUUAUUCAGGCCUAAAUCACGGUUCUCAUAAAUUGAUUAUCAUGUCCCUUUCA